rnacentral:rRNA from 1 species
AUUGAACGCUGGCGGCAUGCUUUACACAUGCAAGUCGAACGGCAGCGCGGGCUUCGGCCUGGCGGCGAGUGGCGAACGGGUGAGUAAUGCAUCGGAACGUGCCCAGUAGUGGGGGAUAGCCCGGCGAAAGCCGGAUUAAUACCGCAUACGACCUGAGGGUGAAAGCGGGGGACCGAAAGGCCUCGCGCUAUUGGAGCGGCCGAUGUCGGAUUAGCUAGUUGGUGGGGUAAAGGCUUACCAAGGCGACGAUCCGUAGCUGGUCUGAGAGGACGACCAGCCACACUGGGACUGAGACACGGCCCAGACUCCUACGGGAGGCAGCAGUGGGGAAUGUUGGACAAUGGGGGCAACCCUGAUCCAGACAUGCCGCGUGCGGGAAGAAGGCCUUCGGGUUGUAAACCGCUUUUGUUCGGGAAGAAGUCCUCUGGGCUAAUACCCCGGGGGGAUGACGGUACCGGAAGAAUAAGCACCGGCUAACUACGUG